rnacentral:rRNA from 1 species
UUAAAUUGAAGAGUUUGAUCAUGGCUCAGAUUGAACGCUGGCGGCAGGCCUAACACAUGCAAGUCGAACGGUAACGGGA